GCCUGAGUGGCUCAGUCAGUUAAGCGUCUGACUUCAGCUCAGGUCAUGAUCUCACGGUUUGUGGGUUCAAGCCCCGCGUCAGGCU
rnacentral:tRNA from 1 species